rnacentral:rRNA from 1 species
UACGAAGGGAGCUAGCGUUGUUCGGAAUUACUGGGCGUAAAGGGCGCGUAGGCGGUUCGACAAGUUGGAUGUGAAAGCCCAGGGCUCAACCCUGGAAUUGCAUUCAAGACUGUCUUACUUGAAUUCGGUAGAGGUGAGUGGAAUUCCCAGUGUAGAGGUGAAAUUCGUAGAGAUUGGGAAGAACACCGGUGGCGAAGGCGGCUCACUGGACCGACAUUGACGCUGAGGCGCGAAAGCGUGGGGAUCAAACAGG